AUAACUAUCGUUUUGGUUGCAAAGCACUCCCUGAUCUAUUACUGAGCACCCUCACUGAUGCAUCAAUUAUUUAUAAAUCUAUAUUGGAAGGAAAGAGAAGAAAGAUGCCAGAGACUUGGAAAGAGCUAAUAUAACAGUUAUACCUAAAAAGGGACAAGAUUUGACUUGAAUAAACCUAAAAAGGUAUAAUCAUGUGCUGGAGAGCUGAAACAAACAACAAAUAUUUGAAAUGA